ensembl:lncRNA
UGCGCCACUUUCUUGCAAAGCUGGAACUUGGAUUUAAACAAAGUGAAACCGUUAGUCGCUAAGUCAUGUCCGAAUCUUCAACUCCCCAGACUAGCCCACCAGCCUCCUUUGCCCAUGGAAUUAUCCAGGCGGAUUCUUUACUGUCUGAGCUACCAGGGAAGCCAAACUAAGGUGUAAAUAACAGAGGGAAGUCUUUAGUAUUGCAAAUACCUGGAGAAGGCAAUGGCACCCCACUCUUGCCUGGAAAAUCCCAUGGACGGAGGAGCCUGGUAGGCUCCAGUCCAUGGGGUCGCUAAGAGUCAGGCACAACUGAGCGACUUCACUUUGACUUUUCACUUUCAUGCAUUGGCGAAGGCAAUGGCAACCCACUCCAGUGUUCUUGCCUGGAGAAUCCCAGGGACAGAGGAGCCUGGUGGGCUGCCGUCUGUGGGGUCACACAGAGUCGGACACGACUGAAGCGACUUAGCAGCAGCAGCAGCAUUGCAAAUACCAG